UUCCUAAGUAUACCGCCCAAUUUUUCACAAAUUGCGCUCAGCUUUUCCUUCAAAAAAUUUCGCGAAAUUUUUUUCCGCUGAAAACAUUCACUUCCCUCCACUGCCUUCCGUCUUCUCAACUUAGGGUUUAGAUCAGUUUUCUCUCAUCCUCCAUAGGUGAUACCAAAAGCUUGAACUCGAAGCGCGGGAUUCUGGGGCAGGAUGUGAACAAUUCGCGCAAACGUUGAUCAGGUUUUCAUCCUAGAUUCUUAGCCUGAUUUCACGGAACUCCAUUGCCGAUGUUUCAUCACAAGUUCAAGGUAAUUUUCCUCUUUUUUAUUUAAAUUCUUUUUGAAACUUGGUUAUGUUUUCCUAAUUUUUUGGAAAUUUGGUUGAAUUUCCCAAUCCUUUUCAAAUUUUGGUUGAAUUUUCCUAAUUCUUUUUCAUAUUUAGAUGAUAAUUAUAUAUUAAUUUGGUUGUGGUUGUUCCCUUGUCAUCACUUCUCGCCUUCCCCUGAGGUAUUUAGAAAACACGAAUUCGCCAUCCUCUGUUGAUUUCACGAAGUAGUUCCAGGAACUUAAUUAGUUGAGCUUGACAUUCAGGAAAAGGGAAUUGAUGAUCGCAACGGAUGCUGGUUGAGUUGCUUUUCCGAAAACUUCACAUCAUUGGAGAUUAUGAACUUCUCCAAUCUUCAUUCAGAAAUUAGAUUUCCGUCCCUUGAGAGACUUGUAGCUAGGUGCAAAUCUUUGAGGGUCUUGAAGCUGAACAAAAAUGUGAACCUGGAACAGUUACAGAGGUUGCUUAUUCGUGCUCCUUGGUUGACACAGCUAGGCACAGAUGCCUUCUCACAUGAGCCCAGCCAGCCCAGUAUGCUAGUCUUGAAAACAUGUUUAACAAUUAUCGUAAUCUACAAACUAUCUCUGGUUUAUGGGAAGCCAAUUCACUCUAUCUGCCUGUCCUUUGUCCUGCUUGCUCAGAGCUGUCAUUUUUUAAUUUGAGUGAUGCACCUUUACAAUGUGAUGAACUUGCUUAGCUUCUUGAUCACUGUCCAAAUCUUCGUCGGCUUUGGGUACUGGACACUGUUGGUGAUAAAGGUCUGGAAGCUGUUGGGUAGAGCUGCCCUUUGCUUGAGGAACUCAGGGUAUUUCCUGCAAGCUCAUAUGAUGCCGACAUAGUCCAUGGCGAAUUAGUUAAAUUUUCUAGAAUUUAGUAGGGAGUAAGCCAGAUCGUGUGCCUAAAGAACAGUGACUUAAAAUAAUUUCAUACUGGGAGCAAGAGAAGACCAAGGAAAAUGACACUUUGACAUGGGGGUCAUGAAAUGCAAAGCUUAGGUAGCAACACAUAUGGACGAUAACUCUUUAUUUGGCAAACAGUGAAUUCAUACUUAUUUGGGGAAGCACACGACGAUAUCAAUUUAUGAUGUAUUAGUUGUUUAGUUGUUGAAUUGUACUACGUAGUAGUUAAUUAGUUAUUUAUCUAGCUUGUCAUCUGCAGAUUAUUAGAUAACAUUUUCUUAGGUUUUUAAGACUAUUAGACAAUUAUAUAUCACCUAUGUAAUGACUUACUUUGUAUGAGUUAUUUAUUUAUAAUAUUAUUUUUAUCUUAUAA